UGCUGUUACUGUAACCCGUCAAGUAUAACACAAAAGGGUGGUUAGCUCAUCUUACAGUUCAUCUUCUGAACUGUUGCUUGAACUUACUGAAUGAACGCUUCUGCUGGUAAUACGAAAAAUCCAUUGAGUGUGUAGCCCUGAACUUCCUUGUGCAGUAGAAUGUCUUGUUGCUGAUAAAUUUUACUACAGUGAAAUCCUGAAUUUUAAUAAAACUUCACAACAAUUCCCACACAACUUUACUGUAGUUUCCUUGUUCAUGUGCCUUCAAAUACCAUAGAAGUCCCAGCUGAUUGAGGAGUCUACCACUAUACUGCCUUCAGCUUUAGGAUUAUGCUGAUAGCAUAUCAGCAUAAUGCUGAUAUGCACCCAAGCUCACACAUGUAUUCCCUGAGUCAGCCUACCUGGUAACACACCUGUACCCCACCAGUUUUGCGAAACUGGUUCUGCAGUCAGAUGUUGGCUUGAAAUAUCUCUGAGGGAAUGGUAGUGGUUGAACACAGUCACAGAUGGAAUACCAGACCUUGCCUCAGUCUUGCUGUGAGACAAAAGUGACUUCCUCCUGCAAAUAGAAGAUGAAUCUGGAAUCCUGGUACAGUCCUUACAUAGGAUAUCAACAGCCUGCAAUUCAUCUGAGGAAGGUGAAAGGAUUUACUCAUCUCUUCAAAAGCUUGAUGCAGAAGAACCUCCCUGGACUUGGUAGAGAAGGGACUGGACUUGGUUCUUAAGCCCUGGAGGCUAUCUGUUCUGAAAACAUGUGGAGUGCUAGCAGUUCUACAGAGGAAACUGGAUUGGCAUUUCUGGAAGUCUGGCCCUCCAGACACCACCAAUGGCUGACAAACUGGAAGGGAAAGUGGAACAGAUGGUAGUAGCUGAAAAGUGAAUGUUUCCUAAGGAUGAGAAGCAAGAAGACUGAUGCCCAGUAAUGCUUUAACUAGAUUCUUUGUGGAAUUGAACACACAGUGGCCUGGAAGAUCAUAAGAAGGGCCUUGCUGUGGUGUGGAAUCUUAAACAGGGAGAGGCAAAGUCGUCAUAGACCGGCACUACAGACAAAUGCACUUGGCUCAAUGUACAUGGAACUUAGUGAAUGUCUGUGCAUUUCCUUCAGUAUGAGCAUAGAAGACUCUGCUUCAAGGCUCAAAGCUAGAGUCAGACCUUGAAGUGACUUGCUGUUAAUCCUGGCUAUUGAUCCAUUUCUGGUGGAUAUCAGAAGGAAAUGCUGGUCACAGUAACUGAGCUGUCCUGUGGUAGCAAAAAGCUGAGAAGUGUAAUUAGUUGUACUGUUUGAUCCCUGCUGCUCAGUGGAAGUUAUCAUUUUUCUUUGAGGAGAAUAAAGGUUUUUUUAUGAGUCAAAAUUGAUUCUUAGCAGGUGAAACAUUCUCUACUUUCGCAAGUCAUUCUUGGAAUAAUAGUAAAACUUUGUAUAUGUAAUACAGGCA